rnacentral:lncRNA from 1 species
AGUAAGCAAACUAGUUUUUCUUAUAGAAAAUACAUACAUACUUAUACAUAAUGCAAUGGAUGAUAUGCCAUGAUCUUUUGGAAAUACUGUAAAAUAAAUUCAAAAAAAUCUCUUUCUGUCACUUUCAAACUUUCUCAUUUUCUUUCGAUGAAAUAUGUAUCCUGCAAUGUGGCACUUUGUGCUGUGCGUGGCACUUUGCACCAUGCGUGGCACUUUGCGGCGCUCUGGCCCUCAAGAGGUGGCCCCCGCAUAGUCUCAAGAGGUGGCCCCCACACAACUUCAAGAGGUGGCCCCCAAUGCAAAAUCUCAUAAAACAGAAAUUCCGUUUGCUAAAAUCCACUUUCUCAUUCAUAGAAAACUCAAUGCAUUUUCGUGCUCAUGCCAAUGAACCAUCACACAUACAUAUGCCCAUGUACAUAAUCACGCCCAUUACAUAACAACACAUCACAUAAACACAUGAGCAGAGACAUAUAAAUCCAUAUUCGUACAUAUCAAAAUAGGACAUCCGCCUUGGCCGUACAGCAGAGCUCUCACCAAGAAACACCUCUUUUCUGACAAAUGCAACGUAAUAUGAUCACGUCCUGCUUAAUAACACAAAGCAUAGAGGCUGCUCUAAUACUUUUCUAACUUAGCCAAAGUUGUUGAAGAUAUAAGUACUUUUAAGUGCUCAGUAAUCUUUAUUAAAUUAGCAUGAUUGGACAUAAUUAAAAAAUGAAAAUUGAAUCAUUAUGAUGAUUGAAUUAGGUAGUUUGAUUGGUGUUAUUUUGUCUAAUUAUCAAGGAGAACAUUCAAUUAUAUACAAUAUGUCCUUCCUAUUUUCUCUUUUAAUUAAAUCAUAAAAAGACUUGCAAUAUUGAUUAUGUAUCUGUUAUGUUGGUUAUUGAAGUGAAUUAUAGUUGUUUUCGUGAUUGUCAAAUAUUGUCUUUGUAACUUAUUUAUUUUUUAUUUAUGAAAUCAAUGGGGAUUUUGCUCUUAUUGAUGGAUGUUGCUGGGUACUAAGAACUGAUGGUCGUAUUAAUUAAUCAGUAUAAGUUAGUUGAAAGUUCAAUGUUCAUGCACUUUUGAGCUACAUAAGGCAAGGAAAAUUGAGUGACUUUAUGUGAUGUAAUGUGACACUAUUCAAUUAAGCAACUCUACUUUUUAGUGAUGGACACAAAUGAAACUAGUGGACUUGCAUUAGCUAGAUGAUAAUUAAAAGGCCAAGAUUAUAUCUUUAACACCCCAGUCCGAAAUCCAAGGGCAAAUAUGUCCACAACUCACAUAUGAUUUAAAUAACUCUUUACAAACAAUAAAAUCCGAGCUUCAAAUACAAAAGCCAGCGGAAUAACUUAAAAAUUUAGCCAAACCAUCUACCAUCUUUAACUUGUCACUCAUCACGAAUCAAUCCUGGAUCUACUAUCCUCAAUUUAAAUCCAUCUUCUCACUCAUCGCGAAUCAAUCCUGACUUCUGGAAACUGAAUCACAAUAAACUAUAACGAGUACAAAACCCAGUAAGCAAACUAGUUUUUUUUAUACCAAAAUACAUCCAUACUUAUACAUAAUGCAAUGGAUGAUAUGCCAUGAUCUUUUGGAAAUAUUGUAAAAUAAAUUCAUAAAAAUCUAUUUCUGUCGCUUUCAAACUUUCUCAUUUUCUUUCGAUGAAAUACAUAUCCUGCAAUGUGGCACUUUGUGCUGUACGUGGUACUAUGCACCAUGCGUGGCACUUUGCUGCGCUCUGGCCCUCAAGAGGUGGCCCCCGCAUAGUCUCAAGAGGUGGCCCCCACACAACUUCAAGAGGUGGCCCCCAAUGCAAAAUCUCAUAAAACAGAAAUUCCGUUUGCUAAAAUCCACUUUCUCAUUCAUAGAAAACUCAAUGCAUUUUCGUGCUCAUGCCAAUGAACCAUCACACAUACAUAUGCCCAUGUACAUAAUCACGCCCAUUACAUAACAACACAUCACAUAAACACAUGAGCAGAGACAUAUAAAUCCAUAUUCGUACAUAUCAAAAUAGGCUUUUCAUACAAGUCAGACAUAUAUAUUAUUUAUUGUGAUUCGUUUUAAAGUCUAGUUCACUUACCUC